rnacentral:lncRNA from 1 species
CUCAGAUCUGAAACUCCUCCUCCUACUUUCCAUCUUUGAAAGAGUCCAAAUCAAGAAGAAGGAGGCACCUGAUCAACCAUCAAAGAAGGAUCAGCGCAGUACUAGCAUACUGUGCUGAUUUCCUGAAGCAAGACUUCUGAUCGAGAUUCGUGGGCUCGUGUGGAUGACUCUUAGAGGCCGGACAUGUGUGCGGCUUGCAACAUCAUCCUC